GGGGCGACUCAAGGGUCUGUCUUCCCAGCACUGUCGUACAUCACCCAGAGCCGCUUUACUGUCCCACGAACAGUAGGGGUCAGUCCGCACACCGAGGCCCCUCUUCCUGCCGCCGGCCGCAGUCCAUGCAGCUUUACCGGCCCAAGGGCUUACAGUCACCCGAAUAGGGAGCAGCGAUACAGCGGCCACACUGGGGCUGCGUAGACGUCUCAUAGACGUCGUCGUCGUGGAGACUACGCCGCAGCCGCCGCCAAGAGUGAAGACGCCAGUAAGCCACGAGCCACGUGGCAAGAGAAAUCCAACAUAUUCUCACCUGUGUUCAGACCAGGCUGCCUUGCAUCACCUGACUGAUAUUUACCAAGAGGAGGAAGUGAGUGAGGGUCUCAAAGAAAACAUCAGGGUGUGGCGGGCGGCCUCUGAGAUGGUCCCCCCACCUGGAGGUUUCCCUGGGUGUGGGCUGGGCUCUGGGUUCACUCCUAACACGUGGAAUCUGAUACAAGGUUCCAUCACACAACGCUGUGACUUCUGCCCUGGGGGCUUGCUCCUGCUCUCUUUGGCAUUGCAUACCCUAUGAGAAGGGGCUACCCUGUGCGGGGGAAACCCUCCAUCCGGCCCAUGCGUUAGGGAUUGAGGCAUGGACAAUAAGCCUGUGACUGAGCUUGGAGGCUAGCCAGUGCAUGCCAAACUUUCAGAUGAGACCAUCACUCUUGCAGUCACAUGACCACAGCCUUGUUAGCUCUCUUCUGGAAGGCCAGCUGGCUGGUGCCUGCCCUUCCAACAAUGCAGGCGAGUCAAUGGUCUCCAUGCCUGGGCGUUCAUCUGCUCACUUUGGAGACCACACGCUGCCGCAGAUGACUAAGACAUAUCACUUCAUUAAGGAGCUGAGGCAAAAUCUCCCAGCUAGCCUCAGAGUGAGCCGGCAUGCCACAGCCUGGGUGGCAGAUGAGCGCUGGUAACAGCAGCAGGGUAGCACAUCACUAAUGGAGUUCCAAGCCUGGCACUUCCCUGAGACUUUACAAUCUUGACCUUGACACAUCAAAAGAUAAGCAAAUAGGACCAGCAGCUUUAGUUCACUGAGCGAAUGGUGGCACCCUCCCUAGCCAUCCCCAGGUCACG